rnacentral:sRNA from 1 species
CCCUUUUCACAAUGUAGAAAAACAUAAAUGACAUACACAUUAAUAUUCUUCGUUUUAAGAGAGUGCCGUUUACUUUAGAAAACAUGAGAUACACACAGAUUGACUGAGAUUGUAAAGAAAACUCAAGUUGUAACAAAAAUCAAAACUAGAUUCUUAGAUUUUUAACUAUAAUUAUAAUAAAGUGUAUCGUGGCUAAUACUAGACUACCCAUCCUAGAUCUAGGACUAGAUUGUAAAAUCGAGAUUGUCCAUAAAAAGAAAUGAUUUACAUCACAGUGAUCAUCAUAUUAUGACAAUAUCAAAGUGUCAUCUGUCAUUCAACAUCUAUAAUAUAGACCUCUUGUCUAGAUAUUUAUUUGAUAUAAUCUCCUCAAUGUGGCCAAGUAUUUAUUAACUGUCACACUGCUAAAGCCAAACUGAGAGUUUAAGCUGAAAAUUAAAUUUUUAAACAUGAUUUCAAGAUCUAUGUCUAGAGCUUCAUGGGCAUCAUUUACAAUGAACUCAUUGGUAAAUAAGCUACAAAUAAAAAUAAACAAUCAUAAUUUCAAAAUGCUGAAAAACGUUCAAGCUAGAUCAAGUUCUACACACAAUACAUCAUCAUCAUCGGCAACAGAAAAUCCAGAGCUUGAUAGCUUUCUAAGUCGUUCAUUUCUAGACUUAGAAAAAAUUGAUGAGAAUCUUUUUAGGAGUAAAAUGCUAUGGAAGCACAAAAGGGCCAGAGGAGUCUACGGUGGUCAAAUGAUUGGUAACUGUCUUGUAGCUGCCUCAGAUGGAUUGCCAGCUGACCAACAUCUGCACAGUCUACAUUCUUAUUUUCACCG